ensembl:misc_RNA 7SK 7SK RNA
GGAAUUGAGGGCGAUCUGGCUGUGACAUCUGUCACCCCAUUGAUCGCCAGGGUUGAUUCGGCUGAUCUGCCUGGCUAGGCGGGUUUCCCCUUCCUCCCUCAACGCUCCACUGCGUAGCUCUCGAAGCUGCAUGCUAGGUCAAAAAGGAUGACCGUCCCUGAUAGAGAAGGACCGGUCUUCAGUCAAGGGUAUACGAGUAGCUGUGCUCCCCUGCUAGAACCUCCGAAGAAGCUCUCAAAGGUGGCUGUAAUUUUUAGGUUCAUAGUUGAAUUAAUACAGUUAUAUCAAUAUCUUUAAAGAAAGAUUUAAAAAUUU